CGAACCGUGCGAACGUUGUUCGGAAUCACUGGGCUUAAAGGGCGCGUAGGUGGUUUGCCAAGUCGGGGUUGAAAUCUUUCGGCUUAACCGGAAAAGUGGCUUCGAUACUGGCAAGCUGGAGGGAGUAGGGCGGAUGGAACUUCCGGUGGAGCGGUGAAAUGUGUUGAUAUCGGAAGGAACGCCGGUGGCGAAAGCGAUCCGCUGGACCUCUUCUGACACUGAGGCGCGAAAGCCAGGGGAGCAAACGGGAUUAGAUACCCCGGUAGUCCUGGCCCUAAACGAUGGGUACUGAGUAGUGGACUUGCAUGGGUUUACUGCUGAAGCAAAAGUGGUAAGUACCCCGCCUGGGGAGUAUGGUCGCAAGGCUG
rnacentral:rRNA from 1 species